GACGAACGCUGGCGGCGUGCUUAAUACAUGCAAGUCGAACGGACAGGCCCUGCUUUUGCUCGCUGCACGAUUGGCGAUGGGGUGAGUAACACGUGAGUAACCUGCCCUUACCUGUCUGAUAACUUCAGGAAACUGUGGCUAAUACCGGAUAGGAGCUCCUGCUGCUUGGUGUUGGAUGGUAAGUGACGGCGGUUGGGUAUGGAAUCGCGGCUUAUCCGCCUUUUGGUGGGGUAGUGGCUUCCCAAGGCUAUGACGGGUAGCCGGCCUGAGAGGGUGACCGGGCCCAUUGGGCCUGAGAUACGGAGCAGAGGCCAACGGGAGGCAGCGGUGGGGAUCAUUGCGCAAUAGGCGGAAGCCAGAUAUAGCGGUGUCGGGUGCGGAAUGACGGCUUUCGGGGUGUAAACAGCUUUGGCAUGAGACGAGGAGUGAGUGACGGUAACUGGUAAAGAAGCAACGGCUAACUACGUG
rnacentral:rRNA from 1 species